CAAUAGCGUAUAUUAAAGUUGAUGCAGUUAAAAAGCUCGUAGUUGGAUUUCUGGUGGGAGCGAUCGGUCUGGCGCUUAGCGCGAGUACUUGCAUCGUCUCCGGCCAUCCUUGGGGAGAGUCUGUCUGGCAUUAGGUUGUCGGGCAGAGGAUCCUCAUCGUUUACUGUGAAAAAAUUAGAGUGUUCAAAGCAGGCUUAUGCCGUUGAAUAUAUUAGCAUGGAAUAAUAAGAUAGGACUUUGGUACUAUUUUGUUGGUUUGCGCACCAAAGUAAUGAUUAAUAGGGACAGUUGGGGGUAUUCGUAUUCCGUUGUCAGAGGUGAAAUUCUUGGAUUUACGGAAGACGAACUACUGCGAAAGCAUUUACCAAGGAUGUUUUCAUUAA
rnacentral:rRNA from 1 species